rnacentral:sRNA from 1 species
AGAUACACAGAGAAAGAGAUGGGGCGAGAUAGAUACAGAUAAGUGAGUGAAAAACUGAGCUAGUUGGCCGCUGAUCUUUCCCUGCUUUUUUCGGCGGUGGCAGAGAAUCAUUAUUCAAGUAGAUCUCACACAGACUGCACAUGAGAGUGCAUAGUUCACAAAUACGUUAAAAUAUUCGGCUUGCAUAUGCCGCACUUACUCAAUGGAUUGAGGCAAGCUGUCAUACUGUGUGGCAGCAUGUUUGAUGUGUGUUGCCAUGUGGCAUGAAUGCGACUCGAUUGGGAACUUUCUCAAAUGCCGCAGCCGGAUGAUUAAAGCUGAUUUGAUACAAAUGCAGCUUGUGGUAUGUGGUAAGUAGUUCGUGUUGUGGCACUUACUUGAGCUUGAUGCGUAUUGCUUUCCUAAGUACUAGUGCCGCAGGAGUUAGGUUUGUGUCCGCAAUGCCUCCUGCUGCCCAAGUGCUUAUUAAGG